UGAGGAAUAUUGGUCAAUGGGCGAGAGCCUGAACCAGCCAAGUAGCGUGCAGGAUGACGGCCCUAUGGGUUGUAAACUGCUUUUAUAUGGGAAUAAAGUGAGGGACGUGUCCCUUAUUGCAUGUACCAUAUGAAUAAGGACCGGCUAAUUCCGUGCCAGCAGCCGCGGUAAUACGGAAGGUCCAGGCGUUAUCCGGAUUUAUUGGGUUUAAAGGGAGCGUAGGCUGUUUGUUAAGCGUGUUGUGAAAUGUAAGAGCUCAACUUUUAGAUUGCAGCGCGAACUGGCAGACUUGAGUGCGCACAACGUAGGCGGAAUUCAUGGUGUAGCGGUGAAAUGCUUAGAUAUCAUGACGAACUCCGAUUGCGAAGGCAGCUUACGGGAGCGCAACUGACGCUAAAGCUCGAAGGUGCGGGUAUCGAGCAGG
rnacentral:rRNA from 1 species